UACGGAGGGUGCGAGCGUUGUCCGGAAUCACUGGGCGUAAAGGGCGCGUAGGCGGCCCGGGAAGCGUGGGGUGAAAGUCCGGGGCUCAACCCCGGAUCGGCCUUGCGAACUCCCGGGCUGGAGCACUGUAGGGGCGGGUGGAAUUCCGGGUGUAGCGGUGGAAUGCGUAGAGAUCCGGAAGAACACCGGUGGCGAAGGCGGCCCGCUGGGCAGUGGCUGACGCUGAGGCGCGACAGCGUGGGGAGCAAACAGG
rnacentral:rRNA from 1 species